rnacentral:rRNA from 1 species
GCCAUGCCGCGUGCAGGAUGACGGUCCUAUGGAUUGUAAACUGCUUUUGUACGAGAAGAAACACUCCUAUGUAUAGGAGCUUGACGGUAUCGUAAGAAUAAGGAUCGGCUAACUCCGUGCCAGCAGCCGCGGUAAUACGGAGGAUCCAAGCGUUAUCCGGAAUCAUUGGGUUUAAAGGGUCCGUAGGCGGUUUAAUAAGUCAGUGGUGAAAGCCCAUCGCUCAACGGUGGAACGGCCAUUGAUACUGUUAAACUUGAAUUAUUAGGAAGUAACUAGAAUAUGUAGUGUAGCGGUGAAAUGCUUAGAGAUUACAUGGAAUACCAAUUGCGAAGGCAGGUUACUACUAAUGGAUUGACGCUGAUGGACGAAAGCGUGGGUAGCGAACAGGAUUAGAUACCCUGGUAGUCCACGCCGUAAACGAUGGAUACUAGCUGUUGGGAGCAAUCUCAGUGGCUAAGCGAAAGUGAUAAGUAUCCCACCUGGGGAGUACGUUCGCAAGAAUGAAACUCAAAGGAAUUGACGGGGGCCCGCACAAGCGGUGGAGCAUGUGGUUUAAUUCGAUGAUACGCGAGGAACCUUACCAAGGCUUAAAUGUACAUUGACCGAUUUGGAAACAGAUCUUUCG